rnacentral:rRNA from 1 species
GAUGAACGCUAGCGGCAGGCCUAAUACAUGCAAGUCGAGGGGUAGAAGAGGCUUGCUUCUUUGAGACCGGCGCACGGGUGCGUAACGCGUAUGCAACCUACCUUCAUCUGGGGGAUAGCCCGGAGAAAUCCGGAUUAAUACCGCAUAAAAUCACAGGAUGGCAUUAUCCAAUGAUCAAACAUUCAUGGGAUGGAGAUGGGCAUGCGUGUCAUUAGCUAGUUGGCGGGGUAACGGCCCACCAAGGCGACGAUGACUAGGGGAUCUGAGAGGAUGGCCCCCCACACUGGUACUGAGACACGGACCAGACUCCUACGGGAGGCAGCAGUAAGGUAUAUUGGUCAAUGGAGGCAACUCUGAACCAGCCAUGCCGCGUGCAGGAAGACUGCCCUAUGGGUUGUAAACUGCUUUUAUUCGGGAAUAAACCUUAUUACGUGUAAUAAGCUGAAUGUACCGAAGGAAUAAGGAUCGGCUAACUCCGUGCCAGCCGCCGCGGUAA